rnacentral:rRNA from 1 species
CAGUCGCCGCGGUAAUACAGAGGGUGCGAGCGUUAAUCGGAUUUACUGGGCGUAAAGCGUGCGUAGGCGGCUUUUUAAGUCGGAUGUGAAAUCCCUGAGCUUAACCUAGGAAUUGCAUUCGAUACUGGGAAACUAGAGUAUGGGAGAGGAUAGUAGAAUUCCAGGUGUAGCGGUGAAAUGCGUAGAGAUCUGGAGGAAUACCGAUGGCGAAGGCAGCCAUCUGGCCUAAUACUGACGCUGAGGUACGAAAGCAUGGGGAGCAAACAGGAUUAGAUACCCGCGUAGUCCCUGUCUCUUAUAC